rnacentral:rRNA from 1 species
GGGAACCUUCCACGGUUUCUGCGACGCAGCUAACGCAUUAAGCGCCCCGCCUGGGGAGUACGAUCGCAAGACUAAAACUCAAAGGAAUUGACGGGGCCCCGCACAAGCAGCGGAGCAUGCGGCUUAAUUCGACGCAACGCGAAGAACCUUACCAAGGCUUGACAUAUACAGGAAUAUGGCAGAGAUGUCAAAGCGGUAAAACGUCUGUAUACAGGUGGUGCAUGGUUGUCGUCAGCUCGUGUCGUGAGAUGUUGGGUUAAGUCCCGCAACGAGCGCAACCCUCGUUCUGUGUUGCCAGCAUUUAGUUGGGGACUCACAGGAGACUGCCGGGGUUAACUCGGAGGAAGGUGGGGAUGACGUCAAAUCAUCAUGCCCCUUAUGUCUUGGGCUGCACGCAUGCUACAAUGGCUGGUACAAAGGGCUGCAAUACUGCAAAGUGGAGCGAAUCCCAAAAAGCCAGUCUCAGUUCGGAUUGGGGUCUGCAACUCGACCCCAUGAAGUCGGAGUUGCUAGUAAUCGUAGAUCAGCAACGCUACGGUGAAUGCGUUCCCGGGGCUUGUACACACCGCCCGUCACAUCACGAAAGUCGGUAACACCCAAAGUCAGUGGCCCAACCGCAAGGAGGGAGCUGCCAAAG